GCUAGCGUUGCUCGGAAUUACUGGGCGUAAAGGGCGCGUAGGCGGCACUGUUAGUCAGGCGUGAAAGUCCUGGGCUCAACCUGGGAACUGCGCUUGAUACGGCAGAGCUAGAGGAUGGAAGAGGCUCGCGGAAUUCCCAGUGUAGAGGUGAAAUUCGUAGAUAUUGGGAAGAACACCGGUGGCGAAGGCGGCGAGCUGGUCCAUUACUGACGCUGAGGCGCGACAGCGUGGGGAGCAAACAGG
rnacentral:rRNA from 1 species